AUUGAACGCUGGCGGCAGGCCUAACACAUGCAAGUCGAGCGAGCGGCGGACGGGUGAGUAAUGUAUGGGGACUGCCCGAUAGAGGGGGAUAACUACUGGAAACGGUAGCUAAUACCGCAUACUAUCGGAUAACCCAUAUGGGAUUAGCUAGUUGGUGAGGUAAUGGCUCACCAAGGCGACGAUCCCUAGCUGGUCUGAGAGGAUGAUCAGCCACACUGGUACUGAGACCCGGCCCAGACUCCUACGGAGGCAGCGGUGGGGAAAAUUGCACAAUAGGCGCAAGCCUAAUGCAGCCAUGCCGCGUGUAUGAAGAAGGCCCUAGGAUUGUAAAGUACUUUCGGUCGGGAGGCGUUACCGACAGAGAGAGCACCGACUAACUCCGUGCCAGCAGCCGCGGUAAUUC
rnacentral:rRNA from 1 species